CGCGUAGGCGGCUCAUCAAGUCGGGCGUGAAAUCUCCGGGCUUAACCUGGAAAAGUCGUUCGAUACUGUUGGGCUAGAGUGUGGAAGAGGCUACUGGAAUUCCGUGUGUAGCGGUGAAAUGCGUAGAUAUACGGAGGAACACCUGCGGCGAAGGCGGGUAGCUGGGCCAACACUGACACUGAGGCGCGAAAGCCAGGGAGCAAACG
rnacentral:rRNA from 1 species